rnacentral:rRNA from 1 species
UACGUAGGGACCAAGCGUUGUUCGGAUUUACUGGGCGUAAAGGGCGCGUAGGCGGCAAUUCAAGUCACUUGUGAAAUCUCCGAGCUUAACUCGGAACGGUCAAGUGAUACUGCUUUGCUAGAGUGCAGAAGGGGCAACCGGAAUUCUUGGUGUAGCGGUGAAAUGCGUAGGAUAUCAAGAGGAACACCGGAGGUGAAGACGGGGAUUGCUGGGCUGACACUGACGCUGAGGCGCGAAGCUAGGGUAGCAAACGG